rnacentral:rRNA from 1 species
AGAGUUUGAUCAUGGCUCAGGACGAACGCUGGCGGCGUGCUUAACACAUGCAAGUCGAACGGAGUUUAGGUCAGUAGUUUACUACAGAUUUAAACUUAGUGGCGGACGGGUGAGUAACACGUGGGCAACCUGCCCUAAAGAGGGGGAUAACACCGAGAAAUCGGUGCUAAUACCGCAUGACAUUAGAGCUUCGCAUGGAGCUUUAAUCAAAGGAGCAAUCCGCUUUAGGAUGGGCCCGCGUCUGAUUAGCUAGUUGGUGAGGUAGAGGCUCACCAAGGCGACGAUCAGUAGCCGAUCUGAGAGGAUGACCGGCCACACUGGAACUGAGACACGGUCCAGACUCCUACGGGAGGCA